rnacentral:rRNA from 1 species
CCUACGGGAGGCAGCAGUGAGGAAUAUUGGUCAAUGGGCGAGAGCCUGAACCAGCCAAGUCGCGUGCGGGAUGACGGCCCUACGGGUCGUAAACCGCUUUUGCCCGGGGGCAACACCCUCCACUUGUGGGCUUCUGCAGUUACCGUGCGAAUAAGGGCCGGCGAAUUCCGUUCCAGACGCCCGGGUAAUCCGGGGGGCCGGGGGGUUUCCCGGUUUCAUUGGGCUUAAAGGGAGGGUAGGCGGGUGUUCAAGUCAGGUGUAAAAUCGCGCGGCUCAACCCCGCCCCGCAGUUGAAACUGGGGGUCUUGAGUGCACGAGAGGUAGGCGGAAUGCGUGGUGUAGCGGUGAAAUGCAUAGAUAUCACGAAGAACCCCGAUUGCGAAGGCAGCCUGCCGGGGUGCGACUGACGCUGAGGCUCGAAGGUGCGGGUAUCAAACAGGAUUAGAUACCCGGGUAGUC